rnacentral:rRNA from 1 species
AUUGAACGCUGGCGGCGUGCCUAAUACAUGCAAGUCGAACGAGUGGCGGACGGGUGAGUAACACGUGGGUAACCGCCCGCUGGAGGGGGAUAACUACUGGAAACGGUAGCUAAUACCGCAUACCAUCGGAUGUGCCCAGAUGGGAUUAGCUAGUAGGUGGGGUAACGGCUCACCUAGGCGACGAUCCAUAGCUGGUCUGAGAGGAUGACCAGCCACACUGAAACUGAGUCACGGUCCAGACUCCUAAGGGAGGAAGCAGUGGGGAAUAGUGCACAAUGGGCGCAAGCCUGAUGCAGCCAUGCCGCGUGUAUGAAGAGGGCCUGCGGGUUGGAAAGUACUUUCAGCGAGGAGGCGUUACUCGCAGAAGAAGCACCGGCUAACUCCGUGCCAGCAGCCGCGGUAAUAG